CUCUUCUUGAAUGAAUAAGAGGUAGGAUCUGCUCCAUGCGUUAAGUAAAUUGCCGCAGUACUUUGACUGUGCUAAGGUAGCAAAAUAAUUUGGCUCUUCAUUGGGGUCUGGAAUGAAUGAUUUGACAAAGUCUACACUGUCUCAUUUAUUAUAUUAGAAAUUGGAUUGUUUGUAAAAAUACAAACAUUGAAGAGAGGGACGAAAAGACCCUAUAGAUCUUUUACUUUAUUUCUUAAUAUUCUUUUGAGUUUUUAGUGAAUUAAGUUUACUUGGGAUAAGACUGAAAAUAAAUUUUGGUUCGAGGGAAAAAUAGAUUAAUUGAAAAGACGAUAAAGAAUAAGAUAAGUUACCUUAGGGAUAACAGGACAAUUUCUUUAUUAAGAACUUAUUGAUAAAGGAGUUUGUCACCUCGAUGUUGAAUUAAGUUUACUUAUAUUCGGAGAGGAAUAAGGAGUUAGUCUGUUCGACUAUUAAAAACUU
rnacentral:rRNA from 1 species